rnacentral:snoRNA from 1 species
UUGAUAUGAUGAAUUUUUUUGAUCUACAUGUUUUUUUCUGGCAUCUCUAAUGCUAGAAUGUGACGUUUAAGUACCGAUCAUUCGAUGAAUAUACCUUUUGACAACUAUCUGAAU